CAGAUUUUUUAAAUAGUAAAUUCAUGUCCGCUGCACUCGCGAUGUGGGACUAAUCCUAGCGCAGAAAAACUUCCUUGCAGCUUAAGAUCUAAUGCUCAAUCCUCGAGGGACCAUAAAAGAAAUUCUUCCUUCUCUGUCAUUCUGCUCUUCCACCUUGUUGAAAACCCUGAAUUCACAAUCCCAAACAACUUCCUUCUCAUCGAUUUUUGAUUAAUAUCUUUCACAAAUGCUCUAACCAAUUAAUGGGUGUGUUACAUCCAUAACCAAAACAGAAACACAACUGGUCAUGUAAUUGGAUGUAUCCGAAAAAAGAAAAUUGGGCAUUUUGGGGAUGCAGCAGCACUGAUUGACAAAAUGCUCCUUAGAUUUAAUUCAGUUGCAGUUGAAGAAGAAUAAUUUGGGUUUGAUGCUUAGGGAGAACAUGGGAAUCGGAGAAGUCAUGGACAUGGUGGUGAAAGCUCCCAUCGAUAGCGUAAGCAAAAAGGCUCCUAUUGGAUUAGAUACAUCUAUCCUUGAAGAUCUUCUGCUAUGUUUUCAUUGGUCCUGAAGUUGGCACCACAAAUUCAAGAAUCUUUGUUUUCUUUUUUCUCAGCCACGGAAUGUAUGUUAUGGAUUUUCCUGGGCAUAAUGAAUUAGAUAGGGACAGCCAGCAACUGAUACAAAGCUGAACGUUGUAAAACUGAA